CACGUAGGGGGCAAGCGUUGUCCGGAUUUAUUGGGCGUAAAGAGCUCGUAGGUGGUUCGGUAAGUCGGGUGUUAAACCCCCAGGCUCAACCUGGGGACGCCACUCGAUACUGCUGUGACUAGAGUCCGGUAGGGGAGCGUGGAAUUCCUGGUGUAGCGGUGAAAUGCGUAGAUAUCUGGAGGAAUACCGGUGGCGAAGGCGGCUCACUGGCCCGGUACUGACGCUGAGGUGCGAAAGCGUGGGGAGCAAACAGG
rnacentral:rRNA from 1 species